CCCUGUGUCCCACAGACGCCCUGAGAGAAAAGGAUUUAAUGGAACGUUCAGAUAAGGUGGCCAAGCGGCUGCAAUUGAUGGCGCAGAGAUACGAGGCUCUGGAGAAAAGGCGCAACAUGGAGGUAGAGGGCUAUAAGACUGACAUCAAGCUGCUGAGACAGCGGUUAAAGGAUGUAGAGAAGCAACUAUUCAAG